rnacentral:rRNA from 1 species
CUAACAAGGAUUCCCCUAGUAACUGCGAGUGAACCGGGAAAAGCUCAAAUUUUGAAUCUGGCGGUCUUCAGGCCGUCCGAGUUGUAAUCUAGAGAAGCGUCUUCCGCGCUGGACCGUGUAUAAGUUUCCUGGAAUGGAACGUCGUAGAGGGUGACAAUCCCGUCUUUGACACGGACUCCCAGGGCUUUGUGAUGCGCUCUCGACGAGUCGAGUUGUUUGGGAAUGCAGCUCAAAUAGGGUGGUAAAUUCCAUCUAAAGCUAAAUACAGGCGAGAGACCGAUAGCGAACAAGUACCGUGAGGGAAAGAUGAAAAGAACUUUGGAAAGAGAGUUAAACAGUACGUGAAAUUGCUGAAAGGGAAACGCUUGAUGUCAGUCGCGUCGGCCGGGGAUCAGUCUCGCUUUUUUUUCGCUAGACGUACUUCCUGGUCGACGGGUCAGCAUCGGUUUCGACCGUCGCAAAAUGGCUCGAGGAAAGUGGCACCUCUCGGGGUGUGUUAUAGACUCUUGUCGAAUACGACGAUCGGGACCGAGGAACUCAGCACGACCUUCGGGUUCGGGGCUUCGGCUCACGUUCGCGUGCUUAGGAUGCUGGCAUAAUGGCCUUAAGCGACCCGUCU